AAAACACAGCUCUCUGCAAGUCGUAAGAGACGUAUAGGGAGUGACACCUGCCCGGUGCCGGAAGGUUAAGGAAGGAGGUUAGCCGUAAGGCGAAGCUUUCGGACCGAAGCCCCGGGUAAACGGCGGCCGUAACUAUAACGGUCCUAAGGUAGCGAAAUUCCUUGUCGGGUAAGUUCCGACCUGCACGAAUGGUGUAACGAUCUGGGCGCUGUCUCAGCCAUGAGCUCGGUGAAAUUGUGGUAUCGGUGAAGACGCCGGUUACCCGCAACGGGACGGAAAGACCCCAUGCACCUUCACUACAACUUAACAUUGACAUCGGGUACAGGAUGUGUAGGAUAGGUGGGAGGCUUUGAUCUGGGUUCGCUAGGAUUCAGUUAGCCAACGUUGAAAUACCACCCUUUUUGUAUCUGGUUUCUAACCCCGCACGCCGGGGGACAUUGUUUGGCGGGUAGUUU
rnacentral:rRNA from 1 species